UACGAAGGGUGCAAGCGUUACUCGGAAUUACUGGGCGUAAAGCGUGCGUAGGUGGUUCGUUAAGUCUGUCGUGAAAGCCCCGGGCUCAACCUGGGAAUUGCAUUCGAGACUGCGUGGCUAGGGUGCGGAAGAGGGAAGCGGAAUUUCCGGUGUAGCGGUGAAAUGCGUAGAUAUCGGAAGGAACACCAGUGGCGAAAGCGGCUUCCUGGUCCAGCACCGACGUUCAGGCACGAAAGCGUGGGGAGCAAACAGG
rnacentral:rRNA from 1 species